CCUACGGGAGGCAGCAGUAGGGAAUAUUGCUCAAUGGGGGAAACUCUGAAGCAGCAACGCCGCGUGGAGGAUGAAGGUUUUCGGAUUGUAAACUCCUUUUGUUAGAGAAGAUAAUGACGGUAUCUAACGAAUAAGCACCGGCUAACUCCGUGCCAGCAGCCGCGGUAAUACGGAGGGUGCAAGCGUUACUCGGAAUCACUGGGCGUAAAGAGCGCGUAGGCGGGAUAGCAAGUCAGAUGUGAAAUCCUAUGGCUUAACCAUAGAACUGCAUUUGAAACUGUUAGUCUAGAGUAUGGGAGAGGUAGGUGGAAUUCUUGGUCUAGGGGUAAAAUCCGUAGAGAUCAAGAGGAAUACUCAUUGCGAAGGCGACCUGCUAGAACAUAACUGACGCUGAUGCGCGAAAGCGUGGGGAGCAAACAGGAUUAGAUACCCCAGUAGUC
rnacentral:rRNA from 1 species